rnacentral:rRNA from 1 species
UACGUAGGGUGCGAGCGUUAGUCGGAAUUACUGGGCGUAAAGCGUGCGCAGGCGGUUUUGUAAGCCAGAUGUGAAAGCCCCGGGCUUAACCUGGGAAUGGCAUUUGGGACUGCAAGGCUGGAGUGUGGCAGAGGAGACUGGAAUUCCUGGUGUAGCAGUGAAAUGCGUAGAUAUCAGGAGGAAUACCGAUGGCGAAGGCAGGUCUCUGGGCUGACACUGACGCUCAUGCACGAAAGCGUGGGGAGCAAACAGG